CCCUUAGAUGUUCUGGGCUGCACGCGCGCUACACUGAUGCGCUCAACAAGUUUAUGACCUUGCCCGGAAGGGUUGGGUAAUCUUCUUAGCACGCAUCGUGACGGGGAUAGAUUAUUGCAAUUAUUAAUCUUCAACGAGGAAUGCCUAGUAGGCGCAAGUCAUCAGCUUGCGUCGAUUACGUCCCUGCCCUUUGUACACACCGCCCGUCGCUCCUACCGAUUGGGUGUGCUGGUGAAAUGUUCGGAUCGGCCGUUUGUCGCGGUUUCCGCGUCAUGUGGCUGAGAAGUUCAUUAAACCCUCCCACCUAGAGGAAGGAGAAGUCGUAACA
rnacentral:rRNA from 1 species